CGCAAUAUCUAGGUUCGGAUGGAGGCUACACCAAUUAGAGCCCGCAAUAUCUAGGUUCGGAUGGAGGCUACACCAAUUAGAGCCCGCAAUAUCUAGGUUCGGAUGGAGGCUACACCAAUUAGAGCCCGCAAUAUCUAGGUUCGGAUGGAGGCUACACCAAUUAGAGCCCGCAAUAUCUAGGUUCGGAUGGAGGCUACACCAAUUAGAGCCCGCAAUAUCUAGGUUCGGAUGGAGGCUACACCAAUUAGAGCCCGCAAUAUCUAGGUUCGGAUGGAGGCUACACCAAUUAGAGCCCGCAAUAUCUAGGUUCGGAUGGAGGUUACACCAAUUAGAGCCCGCAAUAUCUAGGUUCGGAUGGAGGCUACACCAAUUAGAGCCUGCAAUAUCUAGGUUCGGAUGGAGGCUACACCAAUUAGAGCCCGCAAUAUCUAGG